UACGUAGGGUGCGAGCGUUGUCCGGAUUUAUUGGGCGUAAAGCGCUCGCAGGUGGUUCGUUGCGUCGUGCGUGAAAGGCCCCGGCUCAACUGGGGAGGGUCGUGCGAUACGGGCGGACUGGAGGCCAGUAGGGGGAUGCGGAAUUCCGGGUGUAGUGGUGGAAUGCGUAGAGAUCCGGAGGAACACCAGCGGCGAAGGCGGCAUCCUGGACUGGUCCUGACACUCAGGAGCGAAAGCGUGGGGAGCGAUCCGG
rnacentral:rRNA from 1 species